rnacentral:lncRNA from 1 species
AACUUUAUUGUUUCCUCUAUAAAGUAGUAGUUUUAAUCUUUGAGUCGAAUAUCAUUUCUGUGUUUGGAGAAUAGUUUUUAUUUUAUUAUGGUUCUAUCUUUUUGGAAUUUAGUUUCAUUUUUAGGGCAUUGCUUACAUUCCAUUUGAUGUAGAUUUUUUCACGCUUCAUAAUUUCCUACACGUUGGUGGUUGUCUUUUGUUCUAGGGACUCGUUGAAAUGUUCUUCCUUCAAACCAUUUUCAAACACUUCCACAAACAUAUAUUGGUUUCGAUUGAC